CAGUGCGGGCGCGCUUACCAUGCAAGUCGAACGAGAAAGGGGAGCAAUCCCUGAGUACAGUGGCGUACGGGUGCCUUCUAGGGGAUGAUCUACCUUCUAGUGGGGAAUACCUCUGCCAAACCGGAGACAAUACCGCAUAAGCUCGAGAGAGGAAACCCGCAAGGGGCUGGAAGAGGAGUCCGCGGCCGAUUAUCUAGUUGGUGGGGUAAAAGCCUACCAAGGCAAAGAUCGGUAGCCGGCCUGAGAGGGCACACGGCCACACUGGCACUGAAACACGGGCCAGACUCCUACGGGAGGCAGCAGUGGGGAAUCUUGCACAAUGGGGGCAACCCUGAUGCAGCGACGCCGCGUGAGCGAUGAAGCCCUUCGGGGUGUAAAGCUCUUUCGACGGGAACGAUAAUGACGGUACCCGGAGAAGAAGCUGCGGCUAACUACGUGCCAGCAGCCGCGGUAAUACGUAGGCAGCAAGCGUUGUUCGGA
rnacentral:rRNA from 1 species